rnacentral:snoRNA from 1 species
UUCUAUGAUGAUCUUUUUAUAUUCACACUGUACUAGAAGUUCUGCUUCCGUGACUACACAACAAAAAAACUGAUUUAAUGAAUCUGAUG